AUUAGCGGUCAUAGCGGUAGGGAAACACCUGUUCUCAUUCCGAACACAGAAGUUAAGCCUGCUAGCGUAUUGGUUUGCACUGUUCUAUGAACGGAGCAUCUGAAACGCUGCUAAUC
rnacentral:rRNA from 1 species